rnacentral:tRNA from 1 species
AAGCCCCGGCACCCUUUGGGGUGCAUCUCCGAAC